rnacentral:rRNA from 1 species
GACGAACGCUGGCGGCGUGCUUAACACAUGCAAGUCGAGCGGAGCGGCGAACGGGUGAGUAACGCGUGCGUAACUGCCCCCCUCUCUGGGAUAACAGUUGGAAAAGGCUGCUAAUACCGGAUAGUGGGGGAUGACUGGCGUCCUACCAGCUUGUUGGUUGGGUAGUGGCCUACCAAGGCGACGGCGGGUAGCCGGCCUGAGAGGGCUCCCGGACACAUUGGGCUGUGAUACGGCCCAAACUCCUACGGGUGGCAGGAGUGGGGAAUAUUGCGCAGUGGGGGAAACGCUGGUGCAGCAACGCGCGUGCGGGAUGACGGCCGUCGGGUUGUAAACCGCUUUCAGCCAUAACGCGGUAGUGGCAGAAGAAGCACCGGCUAACUACGUGCCAGCCGCCGCGGUAAUAC